rnacentral:lncRNA from 1 species
UAAAUUUCAGAUUUUUUUGACAUCAUUUGACUAGUGAUCAAAAGAUCUCAAAAUUGAUAAUUUUAAUGGCCGAUGUGGUGUGUUUGAGAGUUUAACGGUGUAAAACAAUCCAAAUCCGAUGAAAAUUUUAUAGAAAAUUCUUUUAACUAUUUAGAGUAAGAUCAAUAUAUCUGAUCUUGAAUUUAAAUCUUUUAUCAUCAUUUUUUAUGAGAUUUUUAUUUUCAGCCGUUCAAUUUUAGACUACUUGUUUGAUAGGUAAAUGGUAUAAAAAAAUUAUGAAAUUUAGUUUCUAAAUACUUUUAAUAGUGUAGAUCAAGUCUAAUGGAGCCGAUCGUCAAUUCGAAAGUCCGAACAUCGAAAACAACUUGGUAGCACGGAGCGCUCCGUGCUACCGAUAGUAUAGUAGCCUAGUUAGUUCUAUAUAUAGAGAGAGAGAGAGAGAGAGAGAGUUAAGCUAGAAUACUUCCAAAAGCAAAGGUGGUGUUUUUGAGUUUUUAGCCUUUGGAUGAAGAAAUGUGGGGUUGGGAUGAUGGUGGUAGGUGGUGGUAGGCGGUAGUAGGUGGAAUAGUGUUUAAUCCAAAGGCUAUUAAUAAUCAAGGAGUAGAUCCAAGGGCUAAAAACUUAGAAGCACCAAGGAGGUGGUGCUUCUAAAAAGUAUUCUAACUCAACUCUAUACAUAUAUGUAUGUGUAUAUUAUAUAUAUACAUACAUACAUAUAUAUAUACAUACAUACAUAUAUGUAUAUAUAUGUAUGUAUAUAUAUAUAUAUAUAUAUAUAUAUAUAUAUAUAUAUAUAUAUAUACAUACAUAUAUAUAUACAUACAUACAUAUAUACAUACAUACAUAUAUACAUACAUACAUAUGUAUACAUAUACAUACAUAUAUGUAUAUGUAUACAUAUAUAUAUAUACAUAUAUAUAUAUACAUAUAUAUAUAUACAUAUAUAUAUAUAUAAAUAUGUAUACAUACAUAUAUAUACAUAUAUAUAUAUAUAUGUAUACAUAUAUAUAUAUAUAUACAUAUAUAUAUAUAUACAUACAGAGCUAGGCUGGUAUACUAUCGGUAGCACGCUACCGAGUUGUUUUCAAUGAUGCUGCUUCCAAAUCGACGAUCGGCUCCGUUAGACUUGAUCUACACUAUUAAAAAUAUUUGGAAACUAAAUUUCAUAAUUUUUCGACAUCAUUUGGCUAGUGAUCAAAAGGUCUCAAAAUUGACAAUUUUAAUGGUAGAUGUGAUGCAUUUGUAAAUUUAACGGUGUAAAACAAUCCAAAUCAGAUGAAAUUUUUAUAAAAUUUUUUUUUUACUAUUUAGAGUAAGAUUAGUACAUCUGAUCUUAAAUUCAAGUCUUCUAUUAUCAUUUUUUAUGGGAUUUUUAUUUUUAGUCAUUUAUUUUUAAACUACUCGUUUGAUAGGUAAAUGAUAUUAAAAAAUUAUGAAAUUUAGUUUUCAAAUACUUUUAAUAAUGUAGAUCAAGUAUAACGGAGCCGAUCGUCGAUUUGGAAGCGGCAUCAUUGAAAACAACUUGGUAGUACGGCGGCCUCCGUGCUACCGAUAGUAUACCAACCUAGCUCUCUCUCUCUCUCUCUCUCUCUCUCUCUCUCUCUCUCUCUAUAUAUAUAUAUAUAUAUAUAUAUAUAUAUAUAUAUAUAGAGAGAGAGAGAGAGAGAGAGAGAGAGAGAGAGAGAGAGAGAGCUAGGCUACUAUACUAUCUAUAGUACCGAGCUCCGGUACUAUAAUGUUUGUUUUCGAUCUUAGGGCGUUCAAAUCAACGAUCCACACCGUUAAAACUGAUCUAGGGUAUUUAAAGUUUCUAAAAAUAAAAUUUUAUAUUUUUUCGACAUAGUUUAGUUUAUGAUCAAACUAUUUCAAAAUUGUCAAUUUUUAAUGGCUAUUAUGACGAGUUUGAAGUUUAACGGUGUAGAAGAAUCUAAAUUUCUUCAAAUUUUGAUAGAAAAUACUUUAAACUAUAUAGAUUAAGGUUAACAUUCUUGAUCUUGAAUUUAAAAGUUCUAUACUCAAAUUUUAAAGAUUAUUUAAUUUCCACCGUCCAUUUUGAUAUAAUUUAUUUACUAAGUAAACGAUAUCGAAAAAAACUAAAAUUUUAUUCCUAAGAAAUUCAUAUACCCUAGAUCAUAUUUAACGGUAUGGAUCGUUGAUUUGAACGCCCUAAGAUCAAAAACAAACACUAUAGUACCGGAGCUCGGUACUAUAGAUAGUAUAGUAGCCUAAUUCUAUAUAUAUAUAUAUAUAUAUAUAUAUAUAUAUAUAUAUAUGUGUGUUCUCACAUACCUAUAUCAUCAUAUAAUGGUAGGUAACAUCAUCUAGCAACAUAUGAUUUAGGCAUUCAUAUUUACAAUACAUUAACCUACCAUUAUAUACAUGCAUCAACAAUAAUACCAUCUACGGCAUACAUCUAAAAUGCUGCACGUGUCGAACCCGUUUUUCCAAAAAAUAAAAUUUUGUUGAAAAACACCGAAAGAAUACAAGUACUUAUGUGACGACGACGACGACGACGACGACGACAACAACAAUAAUAAUAAUAAUAAUAUGCUGCACAAGCAUUUAUAUAUGCACCCACAUAGGAUAAGCAACAAAUGCAUGCUACAAAAGAAUAAACAAAAUUAUGUAAAGCACAAAACUUUUUUUUUGUGUAUUCCAAAAAUAUUACAACACAUGAAUAAUAAAGUUUUUUUUACUACACAGGAAAAAAAAUCACCACAAAAAAGGGAUUUUUUUUUUAUAAUGAGCAAAAAUAAAAAAUACUGCCAGAGCACAGGUAGAGCCAAACUGCGGGGUCGCGCCUGCGUGUGCACUUGGCCGGGCCGAGUUCGAAAGAACGCCCGAAGGCUGAGGGGUUGCCCCCCAAGAGCGACAGGCCGGGCCCGGCCUGAAAGCCUGCCUGAACGCUGAGGACCUGUGCCCCCAAGUACGGCAGGCUGGGUCGGGCCCGCAAGCUCACUUGAGCCUUGCGGGGUGCGCCCUUAUGCGCGUAAGGCCAGGCCGGGCUCGCAAGCUUGCCCUAGCCCUGCAGGGCACGUCCCCGCGCGCGUGUCGAGCCAGACCCUAUGGGGUCACUCCCGCGCGCGCGGUGGGUUGGGCCGGGCCCGCCAGACCGCCCGCCGUGCGUGGGUGGCCCGCACGCCUGCAGCCAACUGGGCCCGCAUGCCCGUGCAUGUGGCGGGCUGAUCUGGGUCCGCAAGCCUAUGUGUGUUGUGUGGGUCUUCCCGCGAGCACAGCCCGCAAGCUUGCGCGCACGGCGCACGGGUUCUCUCCGUGCCCCCAGUGGGGCCGGGCCCGCGAGCCUGCAUGUGUGGCUGGCCUAGCCGAGCUACAAGCCCUCUAUCCUGCGCGCGUGGGUCCGUCCCUGCCGCGAGAGAGCGGGUUGGGCCAUGUCGCACAGGCUUGGGCCGGCCUUGCGCUCUUGCAGGGCACGCGAGUCCAUGCCUAUGGACCUGCAAUGGUUGCUUGUUCGCAACCCCUUUUAUUUAAUUUAAAUUGCGCAAAAUAGAAAAGAAAAAAUACAACUUAUGUUUUUAAAAAAUUUCGUAUGUCUCGUAAUCAAUUCAAAAGAAAAAAAUUAAAACUAUUUUAGUUUUUCCUUUUUUUUUGGGAUUUCACAUAGAAAACAAAAAAAAUUUUAGAACAAAUCUACAUAAAAAAAUUUUGAUUAACGAAGCAUGUGAUCUAAACACACACAUCAUAGGCAUGAUCAUAAGGUGAAAACAAGCAAGCAGCUCUGAUACCAAUUGUUGGAAUUAGAAGAUAGCAGAAACUUACAAACUGGAUAGCCAACGUAUCUAGAAAUCGGAAUCGGAUUAGGUUGCUUAUUUUACUAGCCUGUUUGGAUCGUCCUUGUCUCGAUGCUUUUAGAUCUCCCACGUAUCUCGCCUUCUCCCACGCCUACGCCUUGCGUCACAAAUCAGAUGCGACAGACACGGAUUGGAUGCAAGUCGUCGGAUAAGAUGGAUGUAAAUCAAAGAGGGCUGCCAGAGUCCUCUUCUAUAUCCACACUCAAAAGCCCCGGGAACGUAGAUGGAAAUCUCAGAGAGAAAGAAGAGAGAGAAGAAAGAGUAGAUUCUCCUCUAAAAUAUUUUGAAUUUCACAUAGAGAUUAGGAUUAGGAUAUCUAUAAUAGAUAUUCAUUAGGAGAUACGUUUCUUAACUGAUAAGAAAUGUAUAAUUCGUUCUUAUCCUUAAUUGUCACGCUCCGUGACCGCCAAUUUGGUCGGUUCGGGUACGUCCACAGACGCCGAACCAAUAGAACCUCCCCUGUCCGCCCAAAGCUCCACACAACAUCAACAAGUAUAGCAAUUCAUACAAGAGAAUUCGAGUAUAUAUGACUUGCACGAAGGCAACCAACCACAAGCUAGUGAAAGCACUACUACGAUUCCAUUCAUACAUGUAUCUUGAUUGCAGUUAACCAAAUACAAACUAUCCGCAUAUUACAUUCUUUUCUCUUCUUGAUACAUCACAUGUCCCUCAACAAAAGCAUAUGGAUUUACAACCUUUAUACAUGUAAAGUACCGAACUUCUACGAUUUUGAAGUUUCGGUGGGAACUUGCUCGAAAAGCUAUUGGAGCAGUUCCGGUGAAGUUCAGGGGCAUUCGGGUGUUUUCGGUACGCGUCGAGCAUGAAAAUGAAACUCGAAAAGCUAUGAUUGGACUUUGGCCGAAAUCCGGCAAAGCGUAGGUGAAAAGAUGGUUUAAACGCGCUCAAAAAUAUAUUUUGGGGGUCUCGAUACGAUUAGAGACGAAUCGGAGGCCCAACGAGCGAAAACGAAGCAAAACGGAGAAAAUGCUGAAAUUGCUGAAAAUUUGACUAAGUCCUGAAAUUCUGGGCUGGAGGGACUUACGGGGUCCGAACCCUCUAGCCAAGGUCCGGACCCUGAGCUCGAAAAUUGCCCAGUUUAAGUAGGGGCUGUUUGGUAAAUUAUGGGGGAUUGCUUUUAAAAAGGGGCUACACCCCUUCUUCUUCCUCCCUCAGCCCAAAAGCACCACACACACACAAAUGGGUAGUGAGAGAAGCUCAUCUCUCUCUCUAGCUUUCCCACCUUCCCUCUCUAGAUCUCUCUCCCAAAAUUGGAGGCUUGGUGGAGAAGGACCUUGGGAACGCGUUAGGAGCGACGGUUCGAGUCUUCGUGCGCCCGGUGGAGCGGCGUGCUUUCGACUCGGCGUUCGCAUUUUGGUAAGUAUUUAGGAUUUGGUUAAAUCAUUCAUGAAUAGCAUUCUAGAGAUCAUGCAUGUUUCUCCUUUAAUACUUGGGUUAUUUGGGAGAAAUGAGAAGUUAGGGCUUAGAAUGGGGGAUUUUGGGGUUUAUGGGUUUUGAUCUAAUUGAACCUUAUGGUUCUCUAAUUGAAGGUUAGAGAAGAGCCCCAGGUGAUUCUAGGUUGAGGAUCGGCGAGUGUUCAGUGAUCAAUUGCGAGAUCGAGCCAAACCAGAUCACGUGUGCCACGGGAGUCCGAUUGCAAGUGACUACAAGCAAUCGGAAAGCAUUACGAGGUGGGUUGUGCUUCACCGAAGUGAUUAGGUCACUUCCAUGUCAAAGUGAAGUGGUUUGUCAUUGAUGCAUGUAGCGGUAGUUAAUUACAUAUAUGAAUGCAUAGGUAGAUGCCAUGUAAUUGCAUGAGAUGAUAUGCAUAACUACCCUUGGAUGACAAAGAGUUAUGCAUGUUGUCAUAUGAUAGAAUAUGCUAGAUGGUAUAUGAAUGUUGACAUUGUGGAACAUGCUAGAUGAAAUUAUGCAUGUUGGCAAGUUAUAGAAUGUGCUAAAAAGUAUAUGCAUGUGUAAUUGUGACAUUGUGGUAUUAGCUAGAGACAUUGUGACAUUGUGGCAUUAGCUAGAGACAUUGUGACAUUGUGGCAUUAGCCAGAGGCAUUGUGAUUACUCAGUAUAUGAGGAUUGGGAGGUAUUUAUCCCGACUUGAUUACUACUAGUUGGUAGGGUAUCCUCGGGCUAGAGGAUUGGACCAUACUCACAUUCGUCUGUUUUGCUUGGUGGUGGUAGCUCCACCCAAGCUUGGUCUCCGGAGUACUUCAGGUAGGGGCAGACGUAGUUGUCCCGCAGACGGCCCCGGGUGAGAGUAGCGAACGUCUCCUCACGAUGCGGGAUUUGGUUGUGAGUCGGGGCUUAACCUUCGGGUGAGCCGGAAUGAUUGGGUAACAAGCAUAUGAGUGGAAUUGCAUCCCAGUUGAGUGGAUUUAAGGCCGAGGUGCAUGUGAGAUGUCCAUCACCUCGAGCCUGGCUGUACGCAAUAUUCCGCAGAUAAUUGACUUGAGGUCGAGUCUGGUGGUUAGCUUAGCUGAGGUAGAGGAAACCUUAAGAGCAAUUAGCCAAUGAUGUAAAAUGACAAGAUAUAUAAAUUGUGGAAAAGCUAUGGAUAGCGAGAUAGAAAGUAGAAUCAGAUGAUCUACUUAGCUUGUUGCAUUGUUGCAUACAUUACAUAUUGCAUGCCUUGAGGCAUACGCGUGUAUUUAAUACUUGCAUUAAAUAUCUCUGGAUAUCUGUUGGACUAACAUGUUUGCAGUGCCUCCUUUGGACCUUGUGGGUUGAGCUUCUCCUUUGGGUGGUCGUACCUACUGGGAACUAUAUUUAUAUAGUUUUCACCUCACAUUGUUUUGGGGGAUUUCAGGUUCACACGCGAGCUACACGGCGGCGCGAGGACAGGGCGUAGCUCCGUAGAUAGCGCCCUACCAUUGUGACCAGAGAAAACGGUACCCCGAAGUGGUCUAGCUUAGGGGUGGAAAUCAAAGAACAAAAUUGUAAUAAUUUGUAGUAAUGUUGAUUGUAUUUGGAAGUCGAAAUUGGAAUGUAAAAUAAAUGUAUAUGAAUGCUUGUAAUAGCAUAGUUGUAUUUAUGUUUUUGAUACUUCCUUAUGCAAUUCUUGCUUGAAUAGUACUGUUUCUGGUUGGAACCUCGUGUAUUGUAUUGAUUGCGACGCCUUGAACGUACAUGGGAGACUCUAUUCGUUCGGCAGUCUGUUGGCGUGCCCGAAUACGACCAAAGAGGCGGGUCCCGGGCUCUGACAAUACAUAACCAUUUACAUCACCAUUUUUCAUCAUAAACAAAAGAUGAUAAUAAACAGGGUACAAGCUAAACCCGGGAAGCCACUAUCUAGGGCACGAUGCCUUUGCCGCGAUCUUCGAUCGCCCCACUCGCGCUAGGAUCUACAAGGUUAGUGGUGUGAGAACUAGUGAUAGUUCCCAGUGGGUUCGACCGCCGACCCCGCCAACUUGCCCACUAGGUCUACUCAGGCAUAUGUAGAAAAAGAAGAGAUAGAUAGCAAACCAUACUAAUGCUACUACAAUGCCUGUACAAGAACUGAAUCAACAAGAAAUAUGCUCAUGAUGCAUACAUUUCAUUUUUACCUUUGCCAUUACCCAAUUCUCUUGGUUAACUCAUGGUUAACCUCAACUCACCAACCAAAUCCCAUUUUAUCAGGGAGAAUUCCGCUACAACUCGAUGGGACCGUCUACUGGAAAGAUUUCCGCUACAACCUAGUUGGUGACCACUCCGGAGCUCACUGCUUAAGGUGGAGCAACCACCCUCAAGCAUAUAGACCAACUGUGAGUAUAAUCCAUUUCUCAACUUUGAGGAUACCUUGCCACUAUUGCCACAAUGCUCAUAAGGUUCUACCUUGUCUAGCAUACCAUAUUUUCAGAUGCUAAUCAUACCCGCUAGUGUCAAUGUCACCUUUGUUUACUAAUGUCAUAGUCCAACAUCCAAAUUCAUACAUUUGUAGGGUUUCUAUACGUAGGGUCCAUUAUCAGUUCAUAUGUUCUUUUACAUUGAAAGCAUACAAGAGAUUCCCAACCCUAGCCACAUAUCACAAUAACCCUACCAUGCAUGAAUGCCACAAGUACACAUAUAUGCUCAAAAAGACGACAUAGACAUAAUGAGAAAUUCAAUGAUUUCGGAUAGCACCACCCACCUCGUAGUGAUGUCCAAAGACUACAACUCAAGCCUCACGAUUUAUGGUUACCAAUUUUCCUCGACCCACGACAAACGAAGCCAAAAUAGAGUUUUUCCCCAAUAUCUUGACGUAGACUCGUCGGAAUUCCAAUCCGAGUCUCCCAACGCGUCGGUUUAUCCACCAAUUAGGGCUACAAGAGAUCAAACUUAAGUUAGACCUCAAUUCCCCAAAAACCCUAAACUCAACCCUAGGGUUUCUAUCAUUACCAAAUACCCCAAAUUUCUUAGAGAUUCAUGAAUUAAUCUACCAUAACAUCUUCUAGAAACCACAACUAGAAGAGAUUAACCAAAUCCUAGCUCAUAACCACCAAAAAAACUCACCUCAAGUUCUAGCUUUCUCCACAAUCCCUUGCACAAGAGCUAGCUUCACCCCUAAGUAAGCCUUCUUCUCCACCAAGCUCCUCUCUUGGGGCAAACUCUAGUGAGAGAAUGAGAGAAAAGGAGAGAGUGGAGAGUCUUAGAGAGAGAAAGAGAAUUUUCUCUUAGGUCUCAUGUGAGGGAAAAUGAGGUUAAGGGCAUUAGAACCCACAUAUAAACCCUCCCAAUAGACAAUUACACUAAGGCCCCUCACCAAUAUGACAUUUUGGACCAACCCACGUUUUCAUGCGUACGGGGUCCGGACCUUGCACUCAGGGUCCGGACCCCGAGAGCAUUUCCAGCACAAAAAUUAGCUUGGAAUUUUUCAACUUGCUCUCCAAGGUCCCAACCACUCAUUUAAUGUAUUAUGAAGCACUCGGAAUAAUUAACGGACCUCUCCAUCUUGUUCAUCACCACCCUUCGGUCAAUUUGACCGAAGUUCGGUACAACCUAUUGGGGAUUCAGUAUGUUACAUUAACAUAUUAGGAUAAACCCCAAUCCAUAUCUUAUAUGGAUCGGGUUGAAUUACGACCCACCAAUGUGGACACACCACAUGGCAACAAAGCACUUUUUUGUGACGCAGAUAUGUCAGUUAUAAUUUGUUUCAAGUAUAUGUUAUAGUAAAUCGCUAACCAGUUAUCAAGUUUUUAUAUGUUAUUUUUAUAAAAAAUGAAUAGAUAUUUGCCGAUAAGUUUUUAUGAUUUUUACAUGCUUCAAUUAGAUGUUGUACUUUUUUUAAUUUUUGUAUUAUCUUAUGAUAAAGUUUAAUUUAUUCAGAUAAGAGCUGACUAUACCCGAAUUGAGCUAGAAUACUUUUAGAAGCACCAACCCCUUGGUGCUUCUAAAUUUCUAGCCCUUGGAUCCACUCCUUAAUUACUAAUAGCCUUUAGAGUCAAACACUAUUCCAACUACCACCACCUACCAUCAUCAUGUCAACCCUACAUCUCUCAAUCACUACUAGAAAAAUAGUCAUUAGUGGCAUUUAUUUAUGCUGCUAAAUGAUUAACAAAUGCUGCUAAAAGUUUUAGCAGCAUAUGACAUCAAAUACUACCUAUGCCAAUGUUGCUAAAAGUAUUAGCAGCAUUUAUUAUAAAAUGCCGCCAAUGUAAAUUAAUCUGUGUCAUUGGAACAUACCGCUAAAAGGGAUUAAAUGCUAAUUUUAAAUUAUUUAUUAGUGGCACAUAAAUAUAAUGCCGCUAAUACAAAUAUCUGAUAAAUUCAAUUUUUAAUUUUAAUUUUAAUUUUUUUGAAAUGCUACCGACUUUGCUGAAAAUGUGAAUCAACUAGGAUUCGAACUUGAGACCUCGAGUACCAACCACCAAGCCCUUUGCCACUUGCGCUAGCGACUAUUACUUAUGUAUAUUUUAAUUUUUUAAAUUUUAAGUCUUCUAUUUUAAAUUUUUAAAAUUUUAAAUUUUAAAAUUUUAAAUUUAGAUACUAAAUUUUAAGUUUUAACUUUCAAAUAUCAAAUUUUAAGUUUCAAAAUUAAUAGUUUUGAAUUUGAAAAUUUAAAUUUAAAAUGAAUUUAAAAAUUUAAAAUUUUAAAUUUUAAAAUUUUAGAAUUUAAAAUUUUAAAUAUAAAUUUUAAAAUUUUAAAAUUUAAAUUAUACGUUUAAUUUUUAAUAUUAUAUCUUUCGAAUUUUAAACUUUAAUUUUAAAAUUUUUAAUUCUAAAUAAAAAGGGAUAUAUUAAUAAUUAUAUAUUAACUAGUAAUGAUAUUUAGUAAUAAGUGCUGUUAGUUUAUUAUAUUUAGCGGCAUUUACUAAUUUAUGCUGCUAAUUUAUUCUAUUUUGCAGCAUUAAUAGUAAAUUGCUGCUAAAUAAUUAAAUCUUGCGGCAAUUAUCAAGUAAUGCUGCUAAAUAUAUUAAUUGAUUUAAAUAAAUAUUGUGGAGCAAGUAUUGCUGCAUUUAGCAAUAAGUGCUGCUACUUAUUACAUUUAGUGUUAUUUUUUAUAAAUGCUGAAAACUUCAGCGGCAUUCACUAAUUUAUGCUGCUAAUUUAUUCUAUUUUGUAACAUUAAUAGUAAAUUGCUGCUAAAUUAUUAAAUCUAGCGGCACUUAUUAAGUAAUGUUGUUAAAUAUAUUAAUUAACGUUAUUUAAAUAAAUACUGCAGAGUAAAUACCGUUAAAUCAUGAAUUUGUUGUAGUGCAUCCAAGGGCUAAAAACUUAAAAGCACCACCUCCUUGGUGCUUUUUGGAGUAUUCUAGCUCAACUCGACUAUACCCCAUACAAAAUUUUUCACGCUACUGUAUAAUAUAAAUCUACAACAUGCCUAGCUGAUCUUUGGGUGGGACUUGCUAAUUAAAAGAACUAAUAUUUAAUAAAAUUUCCUUCAAAUAUAUGUCACAGUAAAUUAGCAACUAGCUAUUAUAUGAAAUACCAAACUAUAAAUUCUUCUUAAAUAAUGCUGGAAUGUUUGUAACAUAUGUGAAAAUUGAAUUACCAUUACAUGAAGAUAUAGCUGAAAUUAUAAAGACAAAUAGUGGCAUAGAAAGUAAGGAAGAUGCUGCUUAGAUAGCUGUAAAGUGUGUAUAUAUAUAUAUAUAUAUAUAUAUAUAUAUAUAUAUAUAUAUAUAUAUAUAGAGUAGGGCUAGAAUACUUUUACAAGUAUCACCAAGUGAUACUUGUGUGUUUUAGCGCAUUGGAUCUACUUUUGAUUACUAAUAGCCUUUGGAUCAAAUACUAUUCCACCUACACCACCUACCACCACCUACCACCAUCAUCUCAACCUCACAUCUCUCCAUCUAAGGGCUAAAAACACGCAAGUAUCACUUGGUGUGAUACUUUUACAAGUAUUCUAGCUCUACUCUCUCUCUCUCUCUCUCUCUCUAUAUAUAUAUACUAUUAUAUAUAGAGAGAGAGAGAGAGAGAGAGAGAGAGAGAGAGAGAGAGAGAGAGAGACCUGUCCCCUUGGGAGAGACGCGCAGCUACUGGGAGAGCCCUCUGGGACUGGUCCUAAGUCGGGGAGACCGGUCCCCCAACCCGAAAUCUGCCUAGUUUGAGCAGUUCAAUAAAAUAAAAGCUGAGGGGCCUAUUUGCAUUUAUGCAACCCAAUGGUUAAGUUGAGGGCAAUGAGGGUUUUUCCUCUCAUUCUCUCCCUCACACACUCUAUCUCAUCUCUCUUUCUCUCUCUAGAAGACAAGAAGGAGAAGAAAAAGACAAGGAAAAGAAAGAAAAGAAAAAAGGAAAAGAAGAAGAAGAAAAUGAGAAAGAGGGUGAAGAAGAAGCUAAGGAGUGAAUCACCUCCUCUUCUUCCUCUUUGGAGCAACAUAGGAGCAGGCUUAGAGGUAAGUUUGAACCCUAUUCAUGGUAAAACCCUAGAAUGUGAACUAGUUGACCUAAAAAUGGUUUUAGUUGAGCCUAAUAAGUGUUUCAAGCUUUAUUUUGCUUGUUAAUGAGAUCAAAACCAUGGGUUGAGUGUGUGUGAUGAAGCUUAGAGGUGAGCUGCACCCCUCUCAUGGUGAAACCCUAAAAUGGGUUUUGAUUGAGCUAAGAAUGGUUCAAAUGGAACCUUUAGAUGAUUUGAAGCUUGCUUUUGCUUCUCUAAGAGAUCAAAAACCUAGUUUUGUAGUGGGAUGAGUUAGGGCACCCAAAUUUGGGGCUUUUGCUCGGGAGGAUUACAAAGUGUAAUUGACCCUCUAGAAACCUAAUUGGGGGUAUUUUCGACACGUUGGUGCGCUCGGAUUGAUGUUACGAAAAGCCAAUGUAAAGAUAUGAGCAAAAUGGCCUAAUAGGGCUUCGUUUUGCCGCAGGUGACGAACUAGGAGUCUAAAAAUCCCAAGGAAAUCGUUGUAGCAUCCUAGUACGCCUACGAGGUGGGUGGUGUGUCACGCCCCGAAGCCGCUACCAAUUUGGUCCGAUUCGGGCGCGUCGAACAGACGCCGAACGAACAGGACCUCUGCUGUCCGCCCAAGGCUAAGCAACCAGAUCACGUACAAUUAAGCACCCAGGAAUUUGCUUAAACAACAUACAUGAUCAAACACGAUGCACACAAGUGCAAUACAUCUAAGAGCAAGAACCACAAGUAAUAUACAAGUGUAUAAAGAGAGAUAGUCUAACUAUCACGAUCAUUCAACAUUUACAUCAUUUGAAUAUAUUACAUUUUCAUCUUCCAAAAUGUAAAUACAUGUUUGAUCCAAAAUAUAAGUAGCCUUCCCAUAACCAUCCAAAACAUGAUCUAGUACACGAGGGUACUCUAAUGCAUAAAGGAAAAGCUACAAACUAGGCUCACUUAGGGCGCUAUGCCCUUGCCGCGGUCCUCGCUCGGCUCUCCUCUGUGUGUACCUGUACCCCAAAACCACACGGGGUGAGAACUAUAUAAAUAUAGUUCCCAGUGGGUUCGGCCGCCGACGCCGCCGGUUUUCCCACUAGGUCUAAGCUGGCACAGAUAGAGAGAUAGAUAGAUAUACAAAGAUGAACUGCAACUACUCUAUCAUGCCAUCAAUGAUAAUAAUGCAUGCAACAACUACUAUCAUGCUAGUAUCAUGUCAUGAGUAUAUAAAGGUGCAUAGUAAUGUAAACUACAACGUACACUACGUCUACUCAAGGUAAUAAUGCAAGUCUGCUAUGCAUUUCAUGUUGAUUACCCAAUCCACUUGGUUAACACGAAGGUUAAACCCUCGACUCACUCUCAAUCUCAUAGGUGAGGAGAAACUGCACUCGCACACCGAGACCGUCUGCGGGACAACUACGUCUGCCCCUAGUGAAGUACUCCGGAGACUCGUGCCUCGGUGGAGCGACCACCGACAAGCAAAAACAGACUAGUGAGUAUGAUCCAAUCCUCGCAAGAGGAUACCCUGUCUACUAGGGUCAAUGUGCCUUUGCUGCACAAUCAUGAUAUAUAGUCAAUGUUGGGACUUCUACUAUCCCUAAGUUCAUGUCAAGUUUACUACACUAGACUCGAUGCCACUCGUUCGAUCAUUGUAGUAAGUUUUCUACUAGUUGACACGCCACUCGUCCACAUUUAGUGUUUCUACUACACUAGUUCAAUGCCACUCUACUGGGCUAUCAUAUGUCCAAGUUCAGCUCUUUAUGCCAUUAUAAGAUUUCCAUGUCACAUGACCCAGUCCUCAUGCUACCCUAGUUCGCGUGUUCGACUCAUAGUUACACUACUAAGAAGCAUGCAAGGGAAAGGAAAUAUACAUCUACUAAUCCUAUAAUGCAAUAUGAUCAACAUAUAUAUAACUUAGACAUAAAAGGAAACCCGGAUGCUUCGGGAUGACACCCCCCACCUUUUGUGUAUAAGGAGGCUCUAGAAAUGCGCUUCGACGUCCUUUACGACGAAGCCUCGGUGUUCUUGGUCCAAAUGAUGCUCAAUCGGCCUUAUUUGGCCGAUAGCUCUCGACCCGCUCGACGAAUCGAAAUUCUGACUUCGCCCCCGUGUUUCGUUACCUAGCAAUUAGGUUUACAAGGCCUCAAAUGAGAUCAAUCCUCUAUUUUCCCAAAAACCCCAUUUUUGGUGCCCUAGGGUUAGCAUCAAGCUAAACCCAUUUCAAAACCCUAGGUUCUAGCUUCAAUCCUACAAUUCAUGGUGCUAGGGAUCCAUUUGAUCCCAUCCAAAGAGCUAAAACCCAAAAACCCUAAAUUUUCCAAGCUAGGGUUAAAAGCUUACCUCUAGGUUGGCUUAAAAGAGAGAAGAGAGGAUGAGGGAGAAGUCCAAAAGCUUCCUCUUGUUGAUCUCCUUUUUCUUCUCCUUCCUUUUCUUCCUUCUUUUUCUUCUCCUUUCUUCUUCUCCUUCUUUUUCUCCUUCUUUUCUAGAGAGAGAAAGCAAGAGAGUAUGAGGGAGGGAGAGAGAGUGGACUGAGGGAGAGCGAGAGGGAGAGAGGGACUAAUAAGCCCUCUAAUGUAACAAUAUCCAGCUGGCCCCCUCUACUUUUCACCCUGUGCGCAGCCUUCACUGGGCGUUCUGCGCGCGGAGGGACCGGUCUCCCCGACUUGGGACCGGUCCCCGAGAGCUUCAGCUCGGGUCACGCGUUCGGGUACCGGUCUCUCCCAGAGAGACCGGUCCUCGGGAGACCGGUUCCUUCCUGAGAGACCGGUUCCCGAGAGUUAGGACUUCAGGACUUAGCCAAUUUUUGGCUUCUCAUGCUGGGAUCACGUUCGGGAACCGGUCCCUCACUAACAGGGACCGGUUGCCUCAAGCAACCCCGCAACACCAGCCGAUGGGACCGGUCCCUCCCUGCCAGGGAUCGGUCCCCGAGAGCAGUUUUGCUCCAGUGCAGAUCUCGCACUAGUUGCUCUUGUGGACUCGUUUCCAAUGCACUUUUGGUGAUUUUAAUAUCUUUGGCUUUUCCAAAGUACACCAACGCGACCCUUGGUCGACUCGGGAUGAAGUCAAAUCCUCGUAUUUCGAGAAUUCACUUCCUCACAUGGUGCUAUCCAAACUUGUUGGAAUUCCCUCUAUGCUUAAUGUGUCAUUUAAUUGAGCAUUUAUGUAUAUGUUGUUGCAUGCAUUGUAGGGUAAAAUGUGAUGAUAAUUAUGUAAAUGCUGCAUGAUGUGAGUACACGUGCAUUUCUAGUUGGUUGAGAACCUAUAACACCCUAUAUAUGCAUGAGAGGUAAUGUGAGAACUUAAUGAGAUAAAAGAACAAAGUAACACAAGAGCAUAGAUCGAGUGGCAUUCGAAAGUAUAUAGUCGACACUAGAGUUAGUGUGUGGCAUCAAAGAAUCAACGUGAUGAAAAGAACAAUGACAAUGGUUAAAGUUAAUGCAAAGUAUGGCAUAAAGAAUGAGUAAAGUUAAAGAACGAUGAUUGCUAGAGUUGGCAAAAUAAAGUGAUGUAAAGAACACUAAAGUUAGUGUAAAGACAAUGAUUGAACUAUAUAUCCUUAGAGUUAAGGAUCGAUCAUACUUGCUAUGAGUUCCGUGCUCGAGGGCGGUCGCUCCCCCUCGGGCGAUGCGCUCCGGAGUUUUGCAUCACGGGUUGGAGUAAACCCGAGGACUGUCUUAGUGGGAGGCAGCUGAGGGCCCAUGAUGAUGGACUUAAUGUGGGCAAGUUAAUGUGGCGAAACCCCUAAAUUAGCCGUGAGAUUAAAGAACAAGAACAAAGAGCAAAGAUUAAAGAAUAAAGAGUAAAGAAUAAAGAACUUGCAUACUUGCAUGAUUUAUAUUGAGCAUACUCUUGCUUUAUUGUUCAGGCAUAUUAGCAUCAUCAUUAUAGUUGGUUACUAUUCUGCUUAUCCUUUCUAUUAUGCCUGAGUUAGUCCUAGUGGGAAAGUCGGUGAGAUUGGGGCCGAACCUACUGGGAACUUUGUUGUAGUUCUCACCUCACUAUUCCACAGAGCCGGGACCGAGCGAGCCGGCGAGCGACCGCGGUAAAGAUAUCGCACCUUAGUCAGAGGCCACCAGAGUUGGGUUAUUUCACAUUUUGUUAGUAGCUACUCUAUGGUCAUCUUUUGUAUUUGAAGAUGUUUAAAACAAAGAAAGGAAAGAUUGUAAAGUUUAUUUGAGCAAAUAUGAUGUAAAAAAAAUGAUGCAAGUAAUGUAAAGAAUUAUGAAAAUGAGGUUAAAUGCAAUGUUUGUGAUCAAAAGUGAAUCAUAGUACUCAUAAUGUUUAGUUUCCUAUCUUUCACUCAUGGCUAUUGCUUACCCUCGUGUAAGCCAUUUGUGUAUGUUUCCGCUAGUGCACUUCUAUGUUGAAAUUGUACAGGUGAUGAGCUGCGGAUAGGGGAAACUCUGUCCAUUCGGCGUUUGUUUGACGUGCUCGGGUCGGCUCAAAUUGGUAUCGGUUCCGGGGCGUGACAAUAUAGGCCCUCUAGGGUUGAGUGAGUUAUUGGUUUAAUAGUAUAAUCUAACGGGAAAAAAUAGUCAAAAGGUUAAAUUUAAUAGUGGAAAACUUGAUAGCACCAAAUGUUUAGUGUUAUCGAUAGUAUCCUAGCCGGACUCUCUCUCUCUCUUUACUCUCACUCACUCUCUCUCUCUCUCUAUAUAUGAGUCCGGCUACUAUACUUUUAUGAGUAUUGGCUUCCUUAUACUCAUAAGUUUUCGGCCCUUAGAUUUAUUCCACUGAUCAUUUCCAUCCGUUAGAUCAUACUAUUCAACCAACUACCCACACAACCCUAGGGGACCACUAUCAUUUUAAGUGGGGACCACCAUCAUCCUAACCACACAUCCCAUCAAUCAACGGUUAAAAAUUUAUGAGUACAAGGGGGCCUAUACUCAUAAGAGUAUAGUAGCCCCAGCUAUAUANAUAUAUAUAUAUAUAUAUAUAUAUAUAUAUAUAUAGUAGGACUACUAUACUCUUAUGAGUAUAGAGUUCUUCGUACUCAUAAGUUGUUUUCGAUGUUGGGAUUUUCGAAUCGACGAUCCACACCGUUAAACAUGAUUUAGAGUAUUUAAAACUUCUAGAAAAUAAAUUUCGUAAUUUUUCGAAAUCAUUAUAAAGUCCAUCAAGCGGGUAUAAAAUGAAUGGUUGAAUUAAAUCGAACGGCAUCCUAAAAAUGGAUGAUCGGAUCCUUCAAUUUAAGAUCGGGGUUAUUGAUCUUUUAUUUAGGUAGUGAAUAGAAUUUUCUAUCAAAAAUUCAACCUAUUCCGAUUCUUUUUCACUGUUAAAUUAGCAACUAUCUCAUACCGGCCGUUAAAAAUUGUCAAUUUUGUAAGCUUUUGAUCAUAAGGUAAAUGAUAUCGAAAAGCUAUAAAAUUUAAUUUCUAGAAGUUUUAAAUACUCUAGAUAACGUUUAACGGUAUGGAUCGUCGAUUUGGAAACUCUAUUGUUAAAAACAACUUAUGAGUACGAAGGCGAUCGUACUCAUAAGAGUAUAAUAGCGCAAAGUUGAUGUUGUUGACAUUAACAACGAGGACAUGAUAUGCUACAAAUCAAUGUUUGAAUAUAUAAAUUAGUUUUUUUUUAUGCUUUGAUCCGGCAGAACAUCCAACUCAAUAGUAACUAAGAAAACUAGAAAAAGAGAAAUAAAAUUCAGAUAUGCAUCGAGUCUAGCGCAAACUCAACAAAAUCACAGCAUACAAUGAAAAUACUUAAAUGAAAUAUUAAGAGUUAGAAUAAAAAUAAUUGAUAAUAAGAAAAAAAUUAUAUUAUUUAAUUAUUAUUCUAUUUUGUAUUAUUUAAUAAAAACUAUAUUAAUAUAUUUUGC